rnacentral:tRNA from 1 species
GCCUAGAUUAGCUUGAUUGGUAGCGCAACUGCCUUAUAAGCGCUAGGCUGCGGGUUCUAUUCCCGCCCGGGGCG